rnacentral:rRNA from 1 species
AUUGAACGCUGGCGGCAUGCCUUACACAUGCAAGUCGAACGGUAACGGGCCUUCGGGUGCCGACGAGUGGCGAACGGGUGAGUAAUGUAUCGGAACGUACCUUUCAGUGGGGGAUAACGUAGCGAAAGUUACGCUAAUACCGCAUAUUCUGUGAGCAGGAAAGCAGGGGAUCGCAAGACCUUGCGCUGAUUGAGCGGCCGAUAUCAGAUUAGCUAGUUGGUGAGGUAAAGGCUCACCAAGGCGACGAUCUGUAGCGGGUCUGAGAGGAUGAUCCGCCACACUGGAACUGAGCCACGGUCCAGACUCCUACGGGAGGCAGCAGUGGGGAAUUUUGGACAAUGGGGGCAACCCUGAUCCAGCCAUGCCGCGUGAGUGAAGAAGGCCUUCGGGUUGUAAAGCUCUUUCGGCCGGGAAGAAAUCGCAUGGGCUAAUACCCUGUGCGGAUGACGGUACCGGCAUAAGAAGCACCGGCUAACUACGUGCCAGCCGCCGCCGUAAUAC